CUUUUUUUUCAGCUCGAUACCACRUGCUCCAGAUCCUUACUGCUCCAGAUCCUUAGCUCGGUCAGAGUUUCUGCUUUAAGACGUUUUUGUGUUCCCCAAUCCCAGUAAUCGUACUAGAAGCAAUUUGAAAGGUUUCUCCAGAAGGAAAAAAACAGUAUGAAACAAUUUUAUCGUCUGAAAAGAAUCCUGGAUUCCUUCUGUUACCUGUUGAGCAGAUCCAGCAAAGCAGCAGCAAACUAUCAUAGCAUCCUUCUGCUGGAGAGUUCACCAGGGCAUCACACACCAGAGACUAGAGCAAAUCUCAACAUCAUCCAUGGAAUACAGCCUUCCUUCUGCUGGAGAAUGAUCUAAAAUUGUGUUUCCCUGCAAACAGGAUAGAAAACAGCAAGAUUUCUGAAAUGGUUCAGAAUAUAAACUAAGGGUGACUUCUAAUGGAUGAACCUGGGACUUGAGCCUUCAGUGAAAAGUAGUUUCACCAGAGAAGCUUUGCCUUUCCGUCUGUUCCUUGGAUUUAGAUUUCUAAUGUUUCAUUGUGUUAGUAUCAACAUACAGCGCUACGUCUGGUGUAGGCAUUAAAAUGUCUGGGUGUGCAGGUUCCAUAAUCCUACAGUUGGCUUCAUCUUUCAUAGGCUGACUGUAAUACUUGGUUUGCUAUAUUUUUAUUGUUACCACUGUAAUUGUAUUGCAAAGGCUCUUACUCCAGUUCUGGCUUGUUAAAUAAAUAGA
rnacentral:lncRNA from 1 species